ensembl:misc_RNA Metazoa_SRP Metazoan signal recognition particle RNA
GCUUGCCUGUAGUCCCGGCUACUCAAGAGGCUGAGGUGGGAGGAUCGCUUGAGCCCAGGAGUUCUGGGCUAUAUAGUGCGCUAUGCCAAUUGGGUGUCUGCACUAAGUUGGGCAUCAAUAUGGUGACCUCCCACCAUCAAUAUGGUGACCAGGUUGCCUAAGGAGGGGUGAACCGGCCCAGGCUGGAAAUGGAGCAGGUCAAAACUCCCCUGCCAAUCAGUAGUGGGAUCGUGGCUGUGAAUAGCCACUGCACUCCAGCCUGGGCAACAAAGCGAGACCCCGUCUCUU